GGCUUCUCAGUUUACUCCUGCCUUGAAAGCGGGAGGCGGGCAAAAGAAAAUGUCCAGGAGCUU
rnacentral:tRNA from 2 species